rnacentral:rRNA from 1 species
GACGAACGCUGGCGGCGUGCCUAAUACAUGCAAGUAGAACGCACAGUUUAUACCGUAGCUUGCUACACCAUAAACUGUGAGUUGCGAACGGGUGAGUAACGCGUAGGUAACCUGCCUGGUAGCGGGGGAUAACUAUUGGAAACGAUAGCUAAUACCGCAUAAUAUUGAUUAUUGCAUGAUAAUUGAUUGAAAGAUGCUAUUGCAUCACUACCAGAUGGACCUGCGUUGUAUUAGCUAGUAGGUGAGGUAACGGCUCACCUAGGCGACGAUACAUAGCCGACCUGAGAGGGUGAGCGGCCACACUGGGACUGAGACACGGCCCAGACUCCUACGGGAGGCAGCAGUAGGGAAUCUUCGGCAAUGGAAGAAAGUCUGACCGAGCAACGCCGCGUGAGUGAAGAAGGUUUUCGGAUCGUAAAGCUCUGUUGUAAGAGAAGAACGGGUGUGAGAGUGGAAAGUUCACACUGUGACGGUAUCUUACCAGAAAGGGACGGCUAACUACGUG